GGUUAAGCGACUAAGCGUACACGGUGGAUGCCCUGGCAGUCAGAGGCGAUGAAGGGCGUGCUAAUCUGCGAUAAGCGCCGGUAAGGUGAUAUGAACCGUUAUAACCGGCGAUACCCGAAUGGGGAAACCCAGUGUGAUUCGUCACACUAUCAUUAACUGAAUCCAUAGGUUAAUGAGGCGAACCGGGGGAACUGAAACAUCUAAGUACCCCGAGGAAAAGAAAUCAACCGAGAUUCCCCCAGUAGCGGCGAGCGAACGGGGAGGAGCCCAGAGCCUGAAUCAGCAUGUGUGUUAGUGGAAGCGUCUGGAAAGGCGCGCGAUACAGGGUGACAGCCCCGUACACAAAAGCGCAUGUGCUGUGAGCUCGAUGAGUAGGGCGGGACACGUGGUAUCCUGUCUGAAUAUGGGGGGACCAUCCUCCAAGGCUAAAUACUCCUGACUGACCGAUAGUGAACCAGUACCGUGAGGGAAAGGCGAAAAGAACCCCGGCGAGGGGAGUGAAAAAGAACCUGAAACCGUGUACGUACAAGCAGUGGGAGCACAGGUUUACCUGUGUGACUGCGUACCUUUUGUAUAAUGGGUCAGCGACUUAUAUUCUGUAGCAAGGUUAACCGAAUAGGGGAGCCGGAGGGAAACCGAGUCUUAAUUGGGCGUUAAGUUGCAGGGUAUAGACCCGAAACCCGGUGAUCUAGCCAUGGGCAGGUUGAAGGUUGGGUAACACUAACUGGAGGACCGAACCGACUAAUGUUGAAAAAUUAGCGGAUGACCUGUGGCUGGGGGUGAAAGGCCAAUCAAACCGGGAGAUAGCUGGUUCUCCCCGAAAGCUAUUUAGGUAGCGCCUCGUGAAUUCAUCUCCGGGGGUAGAGCACUGUUUCGGCUAGGGGGCCAUCCCGGCUUACCAACCCGAUGCAAACUGCGAAUACCGGAGAAUGUUAUCACGGGAGACACACGGCGGGUGCUAACGUCCGUCGUGAAGAGGGAAACAACCCAGACCGCCAGCUAAGGUCCCAAAGUCAUGGUUAAGUGGGAAACGAUGUGGGAAGGCCCAGACAGCCAGGAUGUUGGCUUAGAAGCAGCCAUCAUUUAAAGAAAGCGUAAUAGCUCACUGGUCGAGUCGGCCUGCGCGGAAGAUGUAACGGGGCUAAACCAUG
rnacentral:rRNA from 1 species